rnacentral:lncRNA from 1 species
AUAAUCAAACUUUACCUUUACGUAGAACUAAAAGAAGCAUUCCAUGCUACUUUCCAACAACGUGUAACAUUUUAAAACAAGUUCACUUACCAAAAGGGAGACAAACUGAAAGAAGUAACACAAAAAUACAAAUGCAAAAUUGCUUUUUUCUAGAAAUGGUCUAAAAUUUUUAUUGUGAGAGAAAGAAUAACAGGGAACACAUUUGUUUGUUUCCUUUGGGACCUAAGACAAACGUAUUGAAUAUUCUGGUACUUUCCCCUCUAGCCACUACUUCCUUCAUUGGACUGCAAGGUAUUUCUGUUUGGAAAAGUAAUGGAGUCCAGUCAACUUCAUUGAUCGCCAAGGACUGUCAAAAUUAUAAAACUUGCUGUGGAGCUCUGACAUGCCAGAAGCCGCUAGAAAAAGAAGUUUGACAUUCAGAAACUUAUCAAGAGGUUCUACUCUUUGGAUAGAGACCAAAAUCAUACUUUGAAAAAGCCUGACAGGUUUCUUCGGAAAAGUGGCCAUCCAUGGAAUGAAUGAAAUGUUCUCUUUCUAUUCCACCUCUAGAGACCAUCAAAAAACAAUGGCUCAUAAUGCUUUUAGAACAGAAACUGAAGUUGUAUACUGUGCAUAUGUAAUCCUACACAAGAGGAAGGCAAUGUUUAAAGCUGCUGUCACCUCUUAGGGAAAAAACUGGAAUUCUGAGUCAAGGGAUUGCAGUGGCAAAGCUAGGCUAGGUCUUGGAGGCUGGUGUAAGGCGAUGUGGGUGAAGGCAGGAGGCUGAUGGAAAGACUGGGGGGAAGAAAAGCCGAAAUGGAUUCACGGUGCCUUGGAUGAAGGACGAGAGGGGAACUGCAAGCUCCUUCAACUGGUUCUGUCCGGUGAGAAGUGAUCAAGCUUGGGCUGACAAGAGGCUCAGGGAGCCCUCACGUUCUUUCGCUUUUUUACCUGCCAAUCAAACUGCUACAAGACAACACCCUGAUCUGGCAUGGACAUUCAUUGCAGUCACCUGGAGUCACGGAAAUGACCAUGAUUGCCUGAACUUUCAUGACUUCUGUGGAUAACUGUGGUUGCAGAAAAGAGAAAACCUGGACCGUGAGGGACAUUUCACUCCCUGGGCUUUGGUACAUGAGUCUUGCUGUGAUGCCCAGGCUGCUGGAGUGCAAUGGUGUGAUCUCUGCUCACUGCAACCUUUGAUUCCUGGGUUCAAGAGAUUCUCCUGCCUCAGCCUCCGAGUAGCUGGGACUACAGGCAUGUGUCACCACACCCGGCUAAUUUUUGUAUUUUUAGCAGAGACAGGGUUUCACCAUAUUGGCCAGACUGGUCCUGAACUCCUGACCUCAAGUGAUCUGCCUGCCUCGGGCUCCCAAAGUGCUGGGAUCACAGGCGUGAGCCACCGCACCUGGCUUCUUACUCCUUUUAACAACUUGAUGAGUCUCAAUACCUUCACAGAGGUGAAGAAGCAGCAACCAAAUGAAUUAGACAGCAACAUGAUUCCUAGAGAAUGGCAAGACCAAUUCUUCAACUACUUCUUCAGCAUUUCUGAAACAUAUGGAAGAUGGCCCAUUGUGCUCUCUUAAUUCUUUGAUAAUCUGGACAUUGACUUUUCCAUUAUAUGACCUGGGCUUGUGGGCAUCAUGUCAUAAUGCACCUGUUCAGACAUCUCCCUGUACCAAUAUGGAUCACUUGAAGAGACUCCUUUGCCCCCAUCAAAAAGGAUACAGUUGUGUAUCUCUUCCAUUUUUGUUUACAGUGCCUAAAAUUAUUUGAGCAGUUUUUCACCUCUUCUCUGAUAAACACCUUAUUAGUCCUUAAAAAGAAAAGAAAAAAGGAAAAUAAAACUUUUAUUGAGAUCCUAA